rnacentral:rRNA from 1 species
CCUACGGGAGGCUGCAGUAGGGAAUUUUGCGCAAUGGACGCAAGCCUGACGCAGCAACGCCGCGUGAUCGAGACGCCCUUCGGGGUGUAAAGAUCUGUCAGUGGGGACGAAACUUGACGGUACCCACAGAGGGAGCACCGGCUAACGCCGUGCCAGCAGCCGCGGUACUACGGGGGGUGCAAGCGUUGUCCGGAAUCAUUGGGCGUAAAGGGUUCGUAGGCGGCACGUAAAGUCAGGUGUUAAAGGCAGAGGCUCAACUUCUGUACGGCACUGGAUACUUGCGAGCUAGAAUGCAGUAGAGGUAAAGGGAAUUCCUGGUGUAGCGGUGAAAUGCAUAGAGAUCAGGAGGAACAUCGGUGGCGAAGGCGCUUUACUGGGCCGUAAUUGACGCUGAGGAACGAAAGCGAGGGUAGCAAAUGGGAUUAGAUACCCCUGUAGUC